UCUCACAAUACUCACGAAUUAGUUAUGAUACUGUAGUAACUCCAUGAAAUAACUGAAGCUUAUGGUCAUAUAUGAAUCAUCAGUAUUUAUUCCCUUUUGCAGUCCAAGAAUUGACACAAGGUGGAAAAUAUGCGGGAUGGUCAGUCCAAGUAUCAGCGGAAUAUGAAAACAAAGAGUGUUGACGGCGCCAAAACUAUCAAGGCGUAACCAACAACGAACAAUUUGUUUCAUCCUGGAGCACAUGCAAGAAGGGCUCACUGUGUCAAGGAAAACGUUUUCAAGAAGAAGGCCUCUGUUCCAGCCGAAGUAGUUUGUCUGGGUGCAAAUAGUGUUCCUUCACCAUACAUACCGCGUCUCUGGAGGAUUUCGUGUACUGUAGUACUAUUCAACCUUUCACGUCCGUGAUGAAAAUUAUAACUACAGUUCAGGUGUUAUUUUGCUUGACCAAGAAUCUAUAAACAACUAUUAGUCAAGGCCAUAAUAUUAUUACAGUACAGAUACACGUCUCUGUGUUCUUGGCUUUCUUCCCUGCAGAAGAAAAUACAAAGCCACCCCGGCGUCGCCUCUGCCUGAUGAUGUGUAGCUGGACAUGGUCAAAUUAUAAGUGCACCACUUUUGUGUACGAACGUCCUUGUAUAUCGUUGCUUUCAGUACGAACGAUGAUCCGUGCUAAAAAUUGCAGAAUUCGCAGUCGCACGCAGUGUAAAGGCCCUUUAACGAUGUAUUUGAUUCAUUAAAAUCCUAUGCAAGUAAGAGCAUUUCGUUGUAGGUUAACGGUUCCGCCUAUAAUACUAGACAUAGAUCCACUUGUUAUAGUAUUAAGUAGGUCCGCCUAUUAUACUAAUAGUAGGCUCUCACCUAUAACACUAGAAAUCGGUCCACCUAUUACACUAGAAGUAAGUUUUUAGGUAACUUUUAAGUGGCAGCUCUUCGCGAUGGUGUAUGUUUACACUAUCAAACGUCAAAUAACAUUUAAGAAGGGAUUCGGGUUCUGUAUGUUCAAUAAACGCACAAAGGUCUACUCGAAUUUUCGGUUUAUUCUAUAAAACGGUGGCGAAUGUCCAGUCUUGUAUUGGAAGUUUGUUUAAAUAAUUAGGGAAACUAGACGACCAAUCAUCACGUGCUCUUUUAAUAAUUAGGGAAACUAGACGACCAAUUAUCACGUGCUCCUUUUUCUUAGAGACACCGGAUCACGAUCUUACACAUACGAAUGUUUUGUAAAAUUUGUCUAAACCAUCAGGAUUAAAUUAGUCUUAUAAAAUUCUUACGCAGGAACUGCUAUAUAAUUGUUCAAUGCACAAUGCUAUGUUUUACAAAAAUGGUGUUUGGUUUUUAAAUAAAUUCAAACAGCAAUGAAAUCGCUCCAAUUUGAACAAGGGCAUCGCUACCGCUGCAAUAUACGUCCACGUGCCUGCUUUGAUUGCUAAGGUUCUUUUUAAAAUGAAGAGCAUAAAAUAUGAAAUGACUGUAAAAUGAAGAGAAUGAAAUAUGAAAUGACUGUAAUAUGACAGGAGGCAAAGAAGGCUAGGCGUUGAGUUUUGUUUUGCCAUAUUUACAGACUAAAUAUUAACAAAAAAUGGGUGUGACACCGUCCCAGGGGGUUGGGGCAUACAUCAAAAUAAAUAAUUGCUGUCUUUGCGAUAUAAGGAAUGAAUAUGCAAAGUUUCAUUCAGAAUUGCGGCCUGUAAACGAUAAACACAAGAAUUAUUCGUGGCUCUGCCCCUUGGGUUGGAUAUGGAACAAUUUAAAUAAGUACAACUCUGUUAUUGAAAUGAUUGAUAUGCUGAAUUUGAAUAAAAUAUGUUAAUAAUUGCAACCGGUAGAGUAUUUACACACAAAACAUUAACAAAUAAGUGGGUGUGGAACGACACUCCUGGGGGUCGGGACAUGCCAGUAUAAAGAAUAAAUAUGUCAAGUUGCAAGAUGAUCCAUUCAGAAUUCCAGACUGCAGACAAAAACACAAACAGUGGGCGUGGCUUUGCCCCUUGUGCGAUGGACAUGGGCCGUUAUAAAUAGGUAAAACCCUAUGAUGGAUCAUACUGAAUUGGAUCCAAAUCUGUUUAAUUGCAACCUGUAGAUUAUUUACAGAGAAUACACCAAAAUCCAAUAUAAAUAUAUAUACCAAGUUCCAAGACAAUCCAAUAUAAAUUUGUGGCCUGUAGGCAACACACAGACACACAAAGGAAUAAAUGGGUGUGGCUCAGCCCCUGGGGAUCAUCCUUAAGGAAUAAGGAAUAGGUAUGCAUAGUUUCAAAAGGAUCUAUUUGGAAUAGUGGCCUAUAGCCGACACAAAGGCACACACAAAAUUGGGCGUGGCUGUGUCCCACGGGGUCGGACAUGCACCAAAAAUGGUAGAGGUCAUCCUUGGGGUAUAAGGAAUAAUUAUGAAAAGUUUUAAAGACGACCAAUGAAGAAUUGUGGCCUUUAGGCAACACAGACCCACAAAGAGAAACUUUGGUGGGCAUGCACCAAAAACAAUAGGCAAUAAGUAUGCAAAGUUUCAAGAUGAUCCAUUAAGAAUUGUGGCCUGUAGGUGACUAACAAAUACAAAAAAUGGCCGUGGCUCUGGCCCUGGAGGUCCGGUAUGCAACAAAACAAUAGGGGUAUAAGGUAUAAGUAUGUCAAGUUUAAAGACAAUCCAUAAAGAAUUGUGCCCUUUAGGCGACCCACUUACACACAAUAUUUAUAAUAUGCUUACCUUCACUUCUCAUAUACCCAACUUCAUCAAUCAGGAGAGUACCGCUAAGUAAUUAGUAGAUAAACAUUAGCGAAAAAUACAGCUGCAACUAAAUUGGGCUUGUCAAGUUUCUGGU